rnacentral:misc_RNA from 1 species
GAUGAAGAACGUAGCGAAAUGCGAUAACUAAUGUGAAUUGCAGAAUUCCGUGAAUCAUCGAGUCUUUGAACGCACAUUGCGCCCCCUGGUAUUCCGGGGGGCAUGCCUGUCCGAGCGUCAUUACAACCCUCAAGCCCGGCUUGUGUAAUGGGCGGCCGUCUCUCCCCCCGGGGGGAGACGCCCCCGAAACUCAGUGGGGAUGUCGCGAUACCGAAGCCUCAGCUAACGGGUAAACCACAGCUGCAAUGGCCGCGGCCGGCGUCCGCCUUCCACGGUCCGUCCGCCUAGCGCGGGCGGCCUUCUCAAGGUUGACCUCGGAUCAGGUAGGGAUACCCGCUGAACUUAAGCAUAUCAAUAAGCGGAGGA